AUGAUGAAUCUCCUCGAAUCAUUGCUGGAUCUAAACGAAAUCUUCUCCGUAUCGCUUGUUGCCAGUUUCCUCAUUCUCUUAUACAGAUCAUGGUCUUUCACCACUCCUACAUCAAAGAUCACCACCUUCUCCACCUAAGCUCCCAAUCAUCGGUAACCUUCACCAACUAGGGUUACAACCUCAUCGCUCACUUGAAUCCCCCUCUCAACGCCAUGGCCCUCUCAUGCUCCUCCAUUUCGGAAGCGUCCCCGUCCUCGUCGUCUCCUCCGCCGACGCCGCCCACGAGAUCAUGAAAACCCACGACCUAACUUUCUCCAACAGACCCAAGUCUGUCAUCUUCGAGAAGCUUCUUUACAACUACAAAGACGUGGCGUCGUCGCCUUACGGCGAGUAUUGGAGGCAAGUGAAGAGUACAUGUGUUCUCAAUCUUCUGAGCAACAAGAGGGUUCGGUCUUUUCGCUAUGUCAGAGAAGAGGAGACAACAUCCAUGAUCAACAAGAUAGCAUCAUCAUCUUCAAGAGCGGUGAAUUUAAGCGCAAUGUUUGCGAGGCUUGCUAAUGAUGUUGUAUGCAGGGUGGCUCUGGGGAGGAAGUACAGUAGUUCGGAUUUCAUUGAAGGUGGUCGGACUUUUAAGGAGGUUCUGUUGGAGUUUGUAGAGUUACUGGGAACGUUUAGUAUUGGGGACUUCAUUCCAUGGCUUGCUUGGUUGAAUCGUGUCAAUGGUUUGAAUGGUAAGUUGGAUAAAGUGGCUAAAGAGUUGGAUGAGUUUUUGGAUAGAGUGAUUCAAGAACAUGAAGGUGACGAUCGGUCAAGGAGUAGUGGGACUGAUUUUGUGGAUGUUUUGCUUGAGAUUCAAAAGGGGAACUUGCUUGGUUUUCCUCUUGACAUAGUUAGUAUUAAGGCUCUCAUCUUGGAUAUGUUUGCUGCUGGAACUGAUACCACAUAUACAGUCCUAGAGUGGGCAAUGACGGAGCUUUUAAGGCAUCCAAGUAUCAUGAGAAAACUGCAAAAUGAGGUACGAAGAAUAGUCGGGAACAAAUCACAAAUAACUGAGAAUGAUUUGGUCGAUAUGCGAUACUUGAAGGCAGUGAUCAAGGAGACCCUUCGUUUACAUCCUCCAAUUCCAUUAUUAGUGCCCAGAAAAUCCACUCAAGAUGUGAAAGUAAACGGCUACGACAUCAAAGCCAAUACACAAGUUAUAGUGAAUGCAUGGAAGAUCGGAAGAGAUUCCAAGUCAUACAACAAUCCUGAGGAGUACGAUCCUGAAAGGUUCUUAAACACUCAUAGGGGAAUAGAUUACAAGGGAAACGACUUUGAAUUGAUUCCAUUUGGAGCUGGAAGGAGGAUCUGUCCAGGAAUUCAGUUUGCCAUGGCUAUAAAUGAGAUUGCUUUGGCAAAUUUGGUGCACAAAUUUGACUGGGCACUACCUGCAGGUGAAGCAAAAUGUGAGGAUUUGGAUAUGAGUGAAUCCAUCGGACUAACCAUUCAUAGAAAAAUUCCUCUUAAAGUUGUUGCUAUUCCAUACUCUUGUUGA